rnacentral:lncRNA from 1 species
UGGUAAGUUAUAAGUGGAUAGGACAUAAUGGGUCAGAGGACACUUGCCUUCACCAAACAGAUGCUCAAGAUCUUCAGCCUCAUAGAACUCAGAGAGCUUGAUCACAUGGUCGCCAACGCUUGAUCUUCGAUCCCUCGAAACUUGGAGAUGGAUCGCAUUCUAAUCACAACGCGGAGCGAAGACGAACAUACACAAGCAAGCAAACACAUAUAUGCAUAAGAACAUUACACCAUACAAAUACAAACAUAAUAAAACAUGCAAAACGAAAUAGAGCGCGUUACUACAGUCACGCGAGAAAAAAGAAGUGUCGAACUCGAAGCGUCGUUCCGGAAGAUAUCGCGUUUACGCUAAAUAAAUAUUAAGUAAAACAUUUAAUUCGAUAUUAUCAAAUAUAAAUUAUAACUGCUAUUUAGUUCUGAUUAAAUCUGUUACGCUAACAGCUGUCAAAUAAAUAAGUAAUUUAAUUAACACAAGAGAUUCUAAGCGAUGCGAAUUGACGAUGCACGAAACAGCACGACAGCGUGCGAACGACGCGCGGACAGGCGCGACAUCGCACGCUGACGACACACGAAACAGCGCGCGCGACGAGCGCGAACGAGCACGCCAUCACGUGCGGAACAACACGCGCGACAGACGAGGAAAACUAAAUAAGUGACACGUUUAUACUAAACAAAUAUUAAAUAAAUAGAAAGUAGUUAAGUUAAUAUUUACCAUGUUAAUAUUAUAAAAGCGCAAAUUGAACAUUACACAUUUAAUCUAACUGAGAUAUUAAUCUAAUAAAUAUUAGUCGAGCAAACCUUAGGUUGAUUAUCUAAAAUAUAUGACCUGACGAAUUAACCUUAUUAACAUGAGUGUUUAUAAGCGAAAAUAAUUUAUUAUCACACGUAGACGCCGCACGACACACGAAACAACACGAACGACGCGCGAACAACGCAACGACGGCGAGCGCCACAUGUGUGAAUAGCGCACGCGACAGGCGAGAAAUACUAAAUAGGUGUCACGUUUAUACUAAACAAGUAUUCAAUUCGAACUCAUUUGAGUUGACAUUAAUCACAUUAACUUGUACAUGUAUUUAUAAAAGUGUAACUUAAAACAAAACUAUAAACUAGUUUUAAUUAUAUUGCUAUUUUAAUAACCAACGGAUAAGCUGACAAUUAAUUAAAUACAUAGAACAUGUGUCGUUUUUAAUACGUAGUUGACGUUUUUAUAAAGUUGGUGCAACAUAAUUUAGUCUAAAUGGAUUUGCCACGCGAAAUAGAUUGAGUAAAUGACUAAUCGUGGCUUUAAAGUCAUGUGUCGUAUUUUCAUUGGCUGGCCGCAUGCAGCGGAGAAAUAAUAGAGAUAUAUUGCAUGCCGCUCAUAUGCAUGCGCAUGGGACCCAGGUGGUUUUUUUCAUUUUCCUAUGCGUGGACUGUACUUUGGAGAUUUUGCUGAGCCGCAUGCAGGUGGGCCCAUAGACAGCGGUUUCUUCUUUCUGUGUGCUUGAUGGCUUGCAACUGUAAAUGACGGAGAGGCUCGCCGGCGACCGGGGCUACAUCGGUGUGGCAAGAAAGGGCUAGGCCGGGGAACGCACAGGAUGGGAGCGGCCCACGCUCCCUGAUUGAGGCUUGACGCGCUUGCCGCAUGCCAGCAGGGGUCGACCGCGGCCAGAGCACUCGCAAACGCACAGGGAUAGGUGCAGACUGCAACAACCAUGCCGCGGCGUAGGGGCACAGUGCACGGGUUGGGCGCGGUGCUACGGCGAGGCAAAGCCUGCGGUGGCUCGGCAUGGAUCGCCGAGUAACUUCCCGACUUGGAGGCGAGGUGUGCGGUGUGGCUAUCAACGGCGUGGCGAGGAUGAGCGAGACAGUGCACACAACGACUCGACAGGGAGGGAACGACAGAGCUUACCAGUCAAGGCGACAUCGGCGGGCGUGCUGCGCAAGGUGUUUCGGCGAGGCAUGUCUACGGCGGAGCCCCGACGAGGAGGGUCGUCACGGUAUGCGCAGCGUGGAUUGUGUGUAGUGGGGGGAGUUGCUACUGGG